ACGCCUAACACAUGCAAGUCGAACGAAGUAGCAAUACUUAGUGGCAGACGGGUGAGUAACAUGUGGGUAUCUUCCCUAUGGCCUGGAAUAACACGAGGAAACUUGUGCUAAUACUGGAUAAGUCUUUACGGAGAAAGCUUUAUGCACCAUUGGAUGAGCCCGCACUUGAUUAGUUUGUUGGUAGGGUAAUGGCCUACCAAGACUUUGAUCAAUAGCUGAUUUGAGAGGAUGAUCAGCCACAUUGGGACUGAGACACGGCCCAAACUCCUACGGGAGGCAGCAGUGGGGAAUCUUGCACAAUGGAGGAAACUCUGAUGCAGCGAUGCCGCGUGAGUGAAGAAGGCCUUUGGGUUGUAAAGCUCUUUCGUCGGGGAAGAAAAUGACUGUACCCGAAUAAGAAGGUCCGGCUAACUUCGUGCCAGCAGCCGCGGUAAUACGAAGGGACCUAGCGUAGUUCGGAAUUACUGGGCUUAAAGAGUUCGUAGGUGGUUGAAAAAGUUGGUGGUGAAAUCCCAGAGCUUAACUCUGGAACUGCCAUCAAAACUUUUCAGCUAGAGUAUGAUAGAGGAAAGCAGAAUUUCUAGUGUAGAGGUGAAAUUCGUAGAUAUUAGAAAGAAUACCAAUUGCGAAGGCAGCUUUCUGGAUCAUUACUGACACUGAGGAACGAAAGCAUGGGUAGCGAAGAGGAUUAGAUACCCUCGUAGUCCAUGCCGUAAACGAUGUGUGUUAGACGUUGGAAAUUUAUUUUCAGUGUCGCAGCGAAAGCAAUAAACACACCGCCUGGGGAGUACGACCGC
rnacentral:rRNA from 1 species